rnacentral:rRNA from 1 species
GUGGGGAAUAUUGGACAAUGGGCGCAAGCCUGAUCCAGCAAUGCCGCGUGGGUGAAGAAGGCCUUCGGGUUGUAAACUGCUUUUGUACGGAACGAAACGGUCCGGGUUAAUACCCUGGGCUAAUGACGGUACCGUAAGAAUAAGCACCGGCUAACUACGUGCCAGCAGCCGCGGUAAUACGUAGGGUGCAAGCGUUAAUCGGAAUUACUGGGCGUAAAGCGUGCGCAGGCGGUUUUGUAAGACAGGCGUGAAAUCCCCGGGCUCAACCUGGGAAUUGCGCUUGUGACUGCAAGGCUGGAGUGCGGCAGAGGGGGAUGGAAUUCCGCGUGUAGCAGUGAAAUGCGUAGAUAUGCGGAGGAACACCGAUGGCGAAGGCAAUCCCCUGGGCCUGCACUGACGCUCAUGCACGAAAGCGUGGGGAGCAAACAGGAUUAGAUACCCCUGUAGUCC